GAUCAUGGCUCAGGAUGAACGCUAGCUACAGGCUUAACACAUGCAAGUCGAGGGGCAGCAUGAACUUAGUUUGCUAAGUUUGAUGGCGACCGGCGCACGGGCGAGUAACACGUAUCCAACCUGCCGAGUGACUCGGGGAUAGCCUUUCGAAAGAAAGAUUAAUACCCGAUGGCAUAGUUCUUCCGCAUGGUAGAACUAUUAAAGAAUUUCGGUCAUCGAUGGGGAUGCGUUCCAUUAGGUUG
rnacentral:rRNA from 1 species